AUCCAGGACAACUAUUUGAGUGUGGCAUCGUUGCUUCUUCCACAGAAUACCUCCAAGAUCCUUAUGACAAUAUCUUAUGGACUGCUUGGAAAUUCCAUCAGAUUCUGUUUUCUCAAAUGUAAUAGGUGGAGAAGAAAUCAGAUGAGAGUCCGCCAAGUAGAGCAAGGAAGAAAGAAGUUCCCAUAAAGUUUGUAACUAUGUUGGCUGAAGCAGAUGGAGAAAAAUUCAUGAACUUCGAUAAAUAAAGGACUAGAUUGCUCGCAUUUGCCAGACCAGGGAGGGAAUGGGGCAGGAAGCAGUGCCAGGUAUGCCUGAGACAUUUCCAUAUGUGAUGGUGGAAGUUCCAAAAAUCUUAAGAUACGUACUUUGUCAUGUCAUUCUAGUGAUGUUUUUAUCUAUUGCUAUUUCUGUAUUAAUAUUGGUGUCCGGACAAGCUUGCGUGCACCUCGACUAAUUCCAUGGUACCUGUUUCUUCCUAUAUUUAGUUAUGUCAAAAAAACAGUUAUUAGAAGUGUUUAGCUUAGGUUCCAGUUUUAGUUUUUCUAUUGCAGUGUCUUAGUGUCACAAACUUGAGCAUUAACCUGUAAGCAGCCUCCUAAAAUGUGCACAAAGAGCAUCUUUAGAUUCAGAGACAGGAAGUGUUUGCUAUGAAAAGGACAUGGAGAGGAAAAGGCUUACCUGAUUGGUUGCUUGGUGUCAGCACAUGUGCCCUUUUCCUUCUGAAAGAGGGAAUUGUAGUGGACUAGUGGUGCUAUCUUGAAAUUUCUCUUGGACAAAUUCUGAGUUGGGCUUGAAAGUUGGAGUCAUAGUGAUCGCCAUGUCAUGGAAGAAUUAUAUUAAAUAGCCGCUUAUCAUUUAAAUUGAGAUAGAAAAUUAUUGAUAAAUGUAUAAUAUAUGAAUAACCAUAUAGAUAGUAAUAUGUAUAAUGGUUAAUGUCUACUUAGUUUGAUAGAAAAAAAGUAAAUGGUGAA